AUUGAACGCUGGCGGCAUGCUUUACACAUGCAAGUCGAACGGUAACAGGUCUUCGGAUGCUGACGAGUGGCGAACGGGUGAGUAAUGCAUCGGAACGUGCCCAGUCGUGGGGGAUAACGCAGCGAAAGCUGUGCUAAUACCGCAUACGAUCUAUGGAUGAAAGCGGGGGAUCGCAAGACCUCGCGCGAUUGGAGCGGCCGAUGUCAGAUUAGCUAGUUGGUGGGGUAAAGGCCCACCAAGGCGACGAUCUGUAGCUGGUCUGAGAGGACGACCAGCCACACUGGGACUGAGACACGGCCCAGACUCCUACGGGAGGCAGCAGUGGGGAAUUUUGGACAAUGGGCGCAAGCCUGAUCCAGCAAUGCCGCGUGCAGGAAGAAGGCCUUCGGGUUGUAAACUGCUUUGUACGGUAACGAAAAGGUACUGGGUUAAUACCUGGGCUCAUGACGGUACCGUAAGAAUAAGCACCGGCUAACUACGU
rnacentral:rRNA from 1 species